GACGAACGCUGGCGGCGUGCUUAACACAUGCAAGUCGAACGCUGAAGCUCAGCUUUUGUUGGGUGGAUGAGUGGCGAACGGGUGAGUAACACGUGAGUAACCUGCCUCCUUCUUUGGGAUAACGCCCGGAAACGGGUGCUAAUACUGGGUAUUCACUGGUCUUCGCAUGGGGGUUGGUGGAAAGGGUUUUUCUGGUGGGGGAUGGGCUCGCGGCCUAUCAGCUUGUUGGUGGGGUGAUGGCCUACCAAGGCUUUGACGGGUAGCCGGCCUGAGAGGGUGACCGGUCACAUUGGGACUGAGAUACGGCCCAGACUCCUACGGGAGGCAGCAGUGGGGAAUAUUGCACAAUGGGCGCAAGCCUGAUGCAGCGACGCCGCGUGAGGGAUGGAGGCCUUCGGGUUGUGAACCUCUUUCGCUCAUGGUCAAGCCGCAACAAUGGUUGUGGUGAGGGUAGUGGGUAAAGAAGCGCCGGCUAACUACGUG
rnacentral:rRNA from 1 species